UACGGAGGGGGCUAGCGUUGUUCGGAAUUACUGGGCGUAAAGCGCGCGUAGGCGGACCUGCAAGUCGGGGGUGAAAGCCCGAGGCUCAACCUCGGAACUGCCUUCGAUACUGCGGGUCUCGAGUCCGGGAGAGGUGAGUGGAAUUCCUAGUGUAGAGGUGAAAUUCGUAGAUAUUAGGAAGAACACCAGUGGCGAAGGCGGAUCUCUGGGCCGAUACUGACGCUGAGGAGCGAAAGCGUGGGGAGCGAACAGG
rnacentral:rRNA from 1 species